CCAUUUAAACUUUAUUUCAUCAUUUUGCAAUAAUAUCCCCAAUUGAUGUUAUUGGACUUUAAUUAGGAGAGAACUCGCUUUAAUGUCUUUCUUCUUCUUCUCCUCCAUUCCAUGUGUAGGGCUUCAAAAUUGACAUAGUUUCCUCACCCUUCUCUUCUCGGGUAUAUGCAUUUUCUCCCACCAGCUAAGGUAAAAUAGAGAGAGUGCUUAAAAAAGGGUACAAAAAUUGUUAAGGUUCUCAUUUGGUUGAGUCUUUUUUUCAUAAAAGAGACAAGCCUCAGAAAUCAUUACAUAGACGAUCCGGAAUAGGAAUAGGAAUCGGAAUCGUUACAGAUUUUAAAAGAUUCAAAAGGUUCAAAAUACAAUCACCAAAGUUAACAGAUCUCCUCCAAUUCUUGACUAGAUUUCCUACCCAUACAAACCUUACAACCAAAUCAAAGUCCCGAAGGACAAAUCCACAUCAGGAGGCCAAGUUUGUUUUGUUUGAGACCAAACCAAACACACUUGCAUCAGUGCCAAAAGCAGAAAUGAAAUCAUAAGAUUCAGCCAGGGUUUUUUAACACCUUGUAAAACAAGGUAGAGUAAAGAAAAGUAAACAAGGUAACAUAAACUAAAACUAAAUCUACAGUAGCAGGGGUCUUCUAAAUCGGUUGUAUGAGGUCUGAUGAAGUCUGAAUCGGUCUGAAUCGGCAUAGGAGUCUUGGUAACCAUUGUUGUUGCAGAGAUUGUUGUUGGAGAUCUUGAAGUCAAAUCUGUUCUUGAUUCCUUAACUAGAGGUGAAGUUGUUUUCCUUACUAUUGCAGGUGAUAUUUCUCCAGAGAAAAACAUGAUGUUACCCACUUCAAAAAAUUGAAGAAAACCAACAAAACCCAAAUUAAGAUGCAGAAAACAACGUAAGUGAAAUCAAACUAAAACAAAGAACUAAGAAAAGCUACAUCCUUUUUUUAGAUCUAGCAGGAAAACUAAGAACCAAAAAAACUUUAAGAAGUGAAAGAUAAAGAGUUUGUAAGGGAGAUCUUGAGAUGGACUGCUCCGAUCUGCUCCAUGGAACAAAUCGGAGCAGGUGGCUUUUAGGGUUUUGAUGGGUCUGUUAUCAGAGGAGGAGGAGGAGGAGAAGAGGAAAGGAAAGAGGAAACAGAAAAGUCCAUUUGGUUGAGUCUUAUUGUUGCCUUUAUGCUAAUAUCUUUUGAAAUUUCAGUUGUUAAAGACUUGGAUGAAAAAACACGGUUUGAAUUGCAUAACAGAUUCCAGGGGCUGGGAGAAGACGAGGAAGUGGGUACAUCACAGUUACAAAUGGAAGAUUCAGAAAUUAGUUACACUAAACCGUCGUCGUCGGAGCCAAAUAUCGGAUCAAUUAGAAAUUUGAGCUUGAAAUCUGAAGCUACGGGCUUAUUUCCUAAUGGAACUCUAAAUACAAACAAGAAGAUCUUUCCGAAAAAUUUCACUGAUCCUCAUAAGAUUUCAGCUCCUAGUCUCAAGGAGUUAGGUUCUCUUAUGGGAUUUGGCUUCCCUUCUUCGAAGACAAAUUGUCAUCAAAUUUUUAGCGAACUUCAGAAAAAUCACGAAACUUUAAUUAUCGAGGAUGAGGAGGACAUUUGAUAGCAUCAGAUGAUUUGUUUGGUUGUAACCUUGUUUUUAAAAGCGUUGUCUCUAGGUUCGUCAAGUUGAUUUUCUCUUAUUGACCUUCUUACGUGCCCAGAGAUCUUCGAAUUUCUUUUCCUUUGUGCUUUCUUUGUUCUUUGGGCAAUUUCUGCCCACCUUCAGCUGUAAUAGCCUUCACGCGACUUGUGUGCUUUCUAUUAAUUUUACUUUUGCCGACCAAAAGAAAAAAGGUUGGGUUAUUUAUUUGUUAA